GAUGGGCAGUCUUUCCCGGAGAAACAGUGCCUGCAUGUUUCAGUUACAGAGCCACCGGGAGUUCCAUGUCAAUGAAAUUGAAUGGAUUAUUAGAUACACGUUUUCCCACAUCUUUGAAAUUUAAAGCUUGCCUCUUGCUGGUUACUAAGUCUUCCGACGUUGAGGCUUCUGCUUGGUGCAGCUCGAAUAUAUCUUAUUGCAUCAAUAACAAACUGAGUGGUGUCAAGGUUAACUCGGGAUGUUUUUAUUUUUGGGGGAGACUGUCUCCACAAUCAGAGCAUCUGGUCGUAUUCGAAAUUGAAGUAACUGCGACUUCCCCUGAAUUAGUCUUUGAGUUCGGAUUCAUCGACAAAGACGGGGAGAUUAAGGAAUGCGGGAUACGUCCUCCAGAAAGCUUGCCUCUCUCAUGUUAAUUGAAGAUGAAGAAACAUUUCGCAUUGGGUUUGAGUAAAAUGUAUCGGCUUUGAAUAAGUGCUCAUCUCCAUCAGCAUUAUCAUUAUAGGGUUGUCCCGCUCUUCUUCGCCUCUGAUCCAAGGAUGUUCAAAGAAGAGUCACUAUGAUCAGUACAAGACUGUUAAAAGAGACUCUUUUCUUGGGAUCCUUACUGAGCAUUUUUCAUCUCAUAACAAGGUCUUUUUGCGUUCUCAGAUAUAGAGGACCAUGGUUGGCAGGUCCAGCUAUAUCCCUUGGAGCAGGAUAUGUUUCUGAGUUAUAUUGAGUACACGUUUCCUGAUGCUGUUGAGAAUUCAAGCUUUGGUUAGGAACAAGGGUUUGUUCUCUUUCUAUCAAGAUGGUCACCAAGAGUGUUUCUGUAUUAGAAAAGUGAGACCUCUGAGGCUUGCGUUAAAGGGUUUGCAGGGUUGGACCACAGGACAAAGAAAAGAUCAAUCACCUGCUGGGACAAGAUCCGUGAUCCCUGUUGUUCAAGUUGAUCCAGUGUUUGAAGGGUUAGAUGGUGGAGCUGGUAGUUUAGUGAAGUGGGAUUAUGGGAUGUUCCUGUGAAGUCGCUUCACGCUGUGGGGUAUGUUUCUAUAUGAUGCGAGCCGUUGCACGAGAGCGGUUAACCAGGGCAGCAUGAGAGAGAAGGGAGUUGUUCGGAAUUGCUUACCCGCUGUUCGUCAAAAUAUUCAUGAUAACUAUAUUACAAAGAGAGACAAAAGUGAGUGAAUUUUAUUUAUUUCUUCUUGUCAAUGCCAGGAAGAUCACUCUGGCCAGCCUUUUCCAU